rnacentral:sRNA from 1 species
CCAUCCAUCUAUCCAUCCAUUCAUCAUUCAAUCACUCUGAUAAAUCUCUACUGCUGUUGCUCAGCACCAACUCCUGAGCUGCCAAUUUUCUACCUAGAGUGACUGGGGAAGGCUAUGUUCAACUGUAGCCUCAAGGGCUGAAUAUGAUUUCAGAACUUGUAAAGAAGAAAUGCAGUCCAUCCAGACAACUGGAUGACAUGGAUGGAUGUGGGGUGUAGGGUCUAAAACACCACAUCACAGCUGGGUAAGGAAAUUGCCCUGUGCAAUAUCUAAACACACUGCUUUGAGAGAGCUUAAGGCAAAUCUCAGCAGGAUUGAUUGCCAAGCCAAAGAGUUUUCUGUGUCCCCAAGGAAGACCUGGCUUGGCCUCUCAUCGUCAAUUGUAAGGAGGGUAUGGAGCACGCAGGCACCCAAGUGUCAGGUUGGUUGUUCCUGACACAGUCUGAUUUCCUGCUGCUGUCUCCUCCACCCAGAAGGAAAUGCUCCAAAAAGCUGGUUAAGAUUCCCCACUGGCCCUAAAUGCCUCAUGGUUAUGACAGAGCCUUGUGAUAUAGCUUUCAUGCCAAAUGAAUAAAAUAUGUAGAUGAAAGUUUUUCUCCCCAAAGGAAAGGUGCUGGAAGAAUUGACAGAAAAGUAUUUAGAGGCAGGGUACUAGCUAUGUUGACCCCUGGUAGAGCAUCCCUGGUCCUCCUGGGCAGAGAUACAAAACUGCAGAGAGAUAGAAGCCAAGUGUGGGCUCUCAGGAAUAUGGCUUCACGUGUCAUAGCAUGGAGCUGGCUAAUCCCACAGGCCCCAGUUCUAGCCACAAGCUGAGACUAGCAAGGAUAGAGGGGCUUUGAGCCUAACUCUGUGACUCCUUGUGUCCUCUUGCCCUGAAUGGCCCUAUGUGAGCUCCUGAGCCUCCUCUUAGCUCUUUGGAGCUGGUAGAACUUGUCCCUAAGUCUCAGGUCUCCAGAGGACAGCUGAUCCUUCUGUCUAGGCAGGAAGCAUAACAAACAUCAAAUAAGAACAAAAACUAUAGGAACCACUCAACACGCACUUGCUCAGAUGUAAACACAUCUGGCUAAUAAAGUGCGGUCACCAUCAGGGUCUCAUUUCAUCUUCAGAAAAACUGAAGGGUUAAGCUAAUGUGUUCAGGGCGUAGAGUAUAAUCCCCACUUCACGUACAUUCAAGCCAGUACAAGCCAAUGGCAGCUUUACUAAAUGUUCACAGGGGCCCAUUGCAUCAGACUCCCAAACCAGUGUGCUCCAGCUUUGUUUUCCCCAGGAAGAUGGUGUUUUGAAUGCAAAAACAGUGAGUGGUCCCAUGGGUGGGAUGUGCUAUCUGAAGCUGUGGUUCCUCCUCCAUCCACGAGCACCUGUGGAGAGGGUAAGGUGGACCCAACCUCAGCCGAGCGGGGCCUCCUGACUUCAGCCCAGGUUGUUUCCACAUUACCCACCCUAACCUUGACCUUGAGCAUGGCACUCCCCAUUCUUCCAGCCUCCCCAUGGGUGGUGGGAACAUGUGGGACAGGUGGCUUUGAAGGCCACUUCCAUAUUCAAGCUGUUGCUGGAACAGAUCUAAGGACAGGAUGUGAAGGUAAGAGAUCGGUAACUCCCAGAACUCCAUGGGUGGAGUAGUCUAACUAAGGGCAGGGGCAGAGGGCACGGAAGCAGCCCUUGACCGACUUCCCAGGGAAGGCCCACUGCCCUCCGCUUCCUCCUCCAGCCAGGGGGUCUCCUCCGCUUCCUCCUCCAGCCAGGGGGUCUCCUCCGCUUCCUCCUCCAGCCAGGGGGUCUCCUCCGCUUCCAGGUCUUAUUGACUUUGAGUUUACAAGGUGUGUGGGUUACUAAGGCUUGGGAUGAUUGCCCUGGGGCCAGACCCGCCUUGGGAAAGCAUCCUCCUCACCCCGGCCCCACAGAAGUGGGUGGGGCCACAAGCUGGGGUCUCCUAGAGCUGCUUAGAAGUUACAGUGGAGAACCAUCAAAUGGAAAACAGGAGAGAGAAGUGGAAGGCUGGCUCAAUCUGGAAAGGCGGAGGAGAAGCCAUGGACAGCUCCACUUUUACACCCUGAAGCCCUGAGUUCCUAACGCAGCCUGGCUCUGCUGGUGGGUGAAAGCUCAGGUGGGUGAGGAGCUUUAUGGUAUUUACUUGGUUUAUUGGCUCUGGGGAAGAGGAUAUGAGUGAGGCCCAAAGUAGUUUUCUGAAGAUAGGACCCUGCAGAAAAGGCAAGAUUUAUGACUUCCGGAAAGCCUCAAGGUUACUGGGCUGGGCAUGGUCAGCUCUCCUUGGUUCUGUGAGCUUUUCAGGGAGGGGACCCUAGGAAAAGAAGUCCAUUCCCCCAAAUUCUCUUUGAAUAUCCCCCAGAGACAGCUCCACAGGGUGGAGUUGCUGUGAUUCCUCCAUCAUUUUAAGGAGGCGGAAACCGAGGUCAGAAGAACCUUCUGCUCUGUAGGAUCCAUGUCCAUUCAGGUUCCCACACUUUGUCUCUGGGAAGCUGUCACUAAAGUGACCCUGGAGUGGGUAAAUACUGAGUCACCCUCAUUAGGGUGGUGGCCUAUAGUCACCACCUGUGUGCCACCCCAGUCAGGCCUAGAACAACAGCUACCUAUCCUGUCCAGUGAGGUGGCCAGGCAGCCUCUAGUGCAGAACCACACAGCAAGGGUGCUUGCUCUCCAGGAAAUACUGACUCCAUGCCUGUGGACUCCGGCCCUGACCAAGCAGAUCUGGAAACAAACGUUUCGCUGACAACCCUACUUCACAGGCACAAGAGGCUGGUUCCUGACACAGCCGGGGCCUCCCGGUCUUCAGUGGCCCCUGUUAGCAGGAUAGAUUGUGUUUCUGGGCUUAAUUAAGGGACAGACCAUAAAUAUUCAUGCAGCCAAAUGAGUCUGGCUCACAAGUGCAGCUGCCUCCCGCUUGGGGAAAAUUAACAUUGUUUUCCAGAGGAGAGGAAUGAGGCUGCUCACUGCAGAGAAGGCUUUUCAACAACCUCUCUAGGACAGGACAGAAAGGGACAGCCACACUCAGAGGCCCUGCACCCUGGGGAAUUGUCCUGGCCUCUGGGACCCCUCUGCUUCCCCAGUGAGGCUCAGUGGGGCUCCGGAAGGGGGGCUUAGCAGGGUUUUUAGCAGAGCAGAAGGCUCCUAACUGUUUAGAGAACUGGUUUUAGCAAAACGUUGCUAAGGGCUAAAUCCACCUGCCACCUGUAUUUGUCAGGAAGCUUUCCUGGGGCCUCAUCACAUAUGAUUCAUAGUAACUAAAGAGCUGAGUCAUGUGGUGGACCAUUUUAACCUGUAAAGCCUGAAGUGCUGACCACUGGGCCUUGUAUGGAGAGUCUGCUGGCUCCUAGAACUGUCUAGAACCACCUCCUGUUGGACAUCUGCUAUUAUUAUUAAAAGUCUCAGAACUUGAGCUGGCAAGGUGACUCAGUGGGUAAAGGCCCUUUGCCACAGAAGGCUGAUGACGUGAGUUUGGUCCUCAGAACCCAAGGUGGAAGAAGAGAAUCAACUUGGGAAAGCUAUCCUCACAUGCUGCAGCAUCAGCACCACCACCAUCACCAUCACCAUCACCAUCACCAUCACCAUCACCAUCACCAUCACCAUCACCUUCAUAAAUAACAUUAAGAAUAAAUAAAAGUCCUGUCAUUUCAACAUCCAUGGUGUCCUAGAAGUUGAGAGUGCUUUUGCCUUGUGGACUUAGAAUCUUCUCUGCAGACUAAAACCUGAUUUCCACGUCUACUCUGCCCCUUCCUUACCUGUGACUGUCAGCAAGUCACCCGCCUUCCUCCUGCUGGGACUCCCUGAGACCCCAAAAUAAGUUGGACUGUGAUUUACUGGCAACACUUACAAAUUACAUAUUGCAAUGAUAUAUCAUUCAUAUGUAAUAUGAUUAUAAACUACACGUUUAAAAAGUGGGACCUUGAAACAUUAGGAGCCUUACCUGUGGUCUGGUCACUAGGAGUGGACUGCAAAGCCAAAACCCGAUCCUGUCUCUCAGGCAGCCCCACUUGCACCAUGUCCUCAGCCUCUCUGAACACCUGCUGUAAGGGGGGGGCUCGCUAUCCCCAUCCCCACCCGCUCCCACCCUGAGCAUUCACAUAGGAAUCUGCCCUAUAUUUGUAGGAAUCUAUAUUUGCCACACUUUGGCUCCUGGUUUGAAUAGCUUCUUCCCAUCUCUGUAAAGUCCAGAAAGAGAAUGCACACAUUCUUGAGGCUGUCUCCCAACUUUCUAGGAGCCAGGAGCAGGCUGAGCCUAAUGCAUUUGCAGCAAGCAAGACCUGGGCAGAAAUUUCCUGUUUCUGUUAUAUUCCCCUACAGGAAGCCCUCCCUGAUGCCUAAAGCUCCCAGUAUUCCUGCCUGGACCGCUUCUCGUUGAGACAGGUCAGUAACAACCCCAGGACUCUCUAACCCUUGCAUUCUUUCUGCUGGUUUUCAACGUGCCCUGAUUGUCUGCUCUCUUCCUACGAUUGUGUGGCAAUAAUGAAUCCCAGCACAUAAAUGCCUUGCAUUGAAGUUAUCCUCACGACCAAUCCCACUUGUAAGAUGCUGGACCUGGGACCCAUGGGGAGGAGAAACAGACAGUAAGAGGCCUGCAGAGAAGCCCUGUGUGUCCCUUACGGGGAAACCCUCCUGCCCGCUUCUCCUCACAUAGGUACCGAGACGUCAUCUGCGGCUGCUGCAGAUACUGACUAGUUGGGGGUGACACAGACAAUCGAGAAGCUGUUGAUAAAGCAAAUCCCGUGUGCCAACCAGUUUCUAAGCACACUGCCUUAGUCGAGCCCCAGGGCAGGUAUUUCUAUUCCUGAGCAGGUUGGAUGUCCUGGGGAAUCAGGCUCGACCCAGGACUCUGGUGGGUAAGGCUUUUAGCUCACCCCCAGCAGCCCUAAGAGGCCAGAUCAUAUCCUUUCAGGGAGUGGAAAAGGAAACACUGAGCCCUUUUACAGGGUUUCUUGUGUGUGCCUAGCAGCCUCUGAGGAUGGCCGAGCUGCCACGGAUGGAAGAAACAGUUUAUUUUUCCUGUGAGCCGCUCUGGAGCCUUUCAAAGGUGUGAAGUUGCAGAGCCUCCAAAUGCUGACUCCAUGGGGCUGCACAGGGCCAGCCCUGCCUGGGCCUCAGACCCCUCCACCCACCCACCCCCAGUCACAAGCUCCAGCUCUUCAUGUGCUGUGGGAGCUCCCCUAGGCCCAUCUGGCCUCUCCUGUGCUGAAAGGCUGCAGAGUGACAGGCCAGAAACCCGAUUCAGUGUUUAUUCACUAAACACUGAGAGAGCCCUCCUGAGUCUCCUCCCCACCCAAAGCCUCUGCUACUUGGGGGGGUGAGGGGGGGCACUGUCCAUCUGCCAUGCUCAGCAUACCUGGUGUACUUGCCCCAGGAGAUCAGACACAAGGAGGAGCAUCCGGACUGGCCAUGAAGCAAGAAAAAAUCUGGUAAGGCGGAAGAAAGAACUGCCACCCGGUGGCAUCAGUCGAAAGAGGAGGAACCCCAAGUCCUGUGGAUUCUGGAUGGAGCUGAGAAGGUCCCUUGACUGAAAGCGCGGCACACCACUGCACUCUGCACAGCCCCAGGUGCUCCGUGUAGCCCACCCUCAGUCUUCUCUGCUGGAGGUCUCCAGAUCUGUGGCUCUCCCAGUGUCGCUGGCUCUCAGGCCUCCCCUCUCAGCACCAAAUCCAGCUGUGCAAACCCCCUUCUGGCCCAGGAGGACCUCAGCCUUGGACACGGGGGUAAGUGGAUGCAGAUGAAAAUCGGGCUGGCAAUUUAUGGUGUGUGUAGUCUGCUCCCUCCAGGCGCUCCAUACGUCAAGGCAAGGCAGUGUUUUCCUUGGAAACUACUCAGGUGGGACCUCUUCCUGGCAAGGCACUUGCUCUCCCUCAGGUGCUGCGGGGCUCCUCCACAGGGAAUUCCUGGGAAGGUUUUGUUCACCAGGGAUGGCAGAUGAGGUUCCUCAGUUCCAGCCUCAGCUUGAGCAUGUUCCUGGGGCAGAGCAGGACAGGAAGCUCCGAGGGCCGAAGGAACUCCAUGUGGAGUAUUUCCUGCUCCACUUCUCACUCCCUUCAAUGCUGUCCCAGACUACAGGGCAGCCCGUGGGACACACAGAAAGGAGUGAGCUACAACAGACACCAUUCGGGCAGAAAGACGCCAGAUGCCAGCAUUUGAAGACCUGGUUCCCCAGUCGGUGUUGCUGUUUGGGGACAUUACGGAACCUUUAGGAGCUGCGGCCUUGCUGGAAGAGUAUGUCACCAGAGGGAGCCUUUGAAGGUUUAUAGCCACUUCCAGUUUGCUUUCUCGGCUUCCUGUACAAUAGAAUGUCUUCAGUCAGCUUCCCGCCGAAGCUGUGCCAAGCCUGCCUCACUAAUAGGGGUGUCCUUCGGAAUCCUAAGCCAAAAUAAACUCUUUCCCCAAUGA